rnacentral:rRNA from 1 species
CCUACGGGAGGCAGCAGUGGGGGAUAUUGCACAAUGGGGGCAACCCUGAUGCAGCGAUGCCGCGUGGGCGAAGAAGUAUUUCGGUAUGUAAAGCCCUAUCAGCAGGGAAGAAGAAAUGACGGUACCUGAGUAAGACGCACCGGCUAAAUACGUGCAAACCGACGCGGUAAUACGUAGGGUGCAAGCGUUAUACGGAUUUACUGGGUGUAAAGGGUGUGAAGGCGGGACGGCAAGCCUGAUGUGAAAGCCCGGGGCCUAACCGGGGGACUGCAUGGGGGACUGCCUGGCUAGAGUGCCGGAGAGGGAGGCGGAAUUCCUAGUGUAGCGGUGAAAUGCGUAGAUAUGAGGAAGAACACCAGUGGCGAAGGCAGCCUACUGGACGGUAACUGACGCUCAGGCACGAAAGCGUGGGGAGCAAACAGGAUUAGAUACCCUUGUAGUC